UACAGGGGGUGCAAACGUUGCUCGGAAUUAUUGGGCGUAAAGCGCACGUAGGCGGUUCGUUAUGUCAGAUGUGAAAGCCCUUGGCUCAACUGAGGAAGUGCAUCUGAAACUGGCGAGCUAGAGUAUGUAAGAGGGUCGCGGAAUUCCCGGUGUAGAGGUGAAAUUCGUAGAUAUCGGGAGGACCACCGGUGGCGAAGGCGGCGACCUGGGACAAUACUGACGCUGAGGUGCGAAAGCGUGGGGAGCGAACAGG
rnacentral:rRNA from 1 species